UUUGGGGCUUAUAAAAAUUAUUAGAGUUAGUUAGGUGUAAAAUAUAAAUGAGUUAUUGAUAAUAAAAGGUGAAAUUAGGUUGUUAUUAAGUAAAAGAAAUAUAUUGAGGCUGAAGCUAGAAAGAUCUAAAUAAAAACUAGGAUUAGAUACCCUAUUAUUUUAGAAUUAAAUUUAAUAUAACUCUGGGUAAGUAGUAGAUAAAUACUUAAAAAUUAAAAAAUUUGGCGGUGAUUUAAUCUUUUUAGAGGAACUUGUUUUUUAAUCGAUAAACCACGUUUAAUCUUACUUGUUUUAGUAAAUCAGUAUGUAUACCAUCAUUAACAGGUAAUUUUAAAAGGAAAAAUUACUAAAAAUAAUUGAUUAUAUAAAUUAGAUCAUGGUGCAGCUUAUAAACAAGGUAAAAUGAGUUACAAUAAAGUAUUUUAGAUGAAUUAACGAGGGAAUCUUCGUUAUAAAGGUGGAUUUAAUUGUAAAUGUAGAUUAAUAAGCUUAUUUGAUAUUGGUGCUAAAUCAUGUACAUAUCGCCCGUCGCUUUCGCUAACCGAAAUAAGUCGUAACAUA
rnacentral:rRNA from 1 species